AGAAAAUCCUUUGCUACAUGGCAUCAAUAAGAAGGGUUUUUUUUUUGUUUGUUUGUUUUUGUUUUUUUUGACAAAGUUGAUCAGCGAUGCCUUAUACUAGAACCGAAGAUUCUAAUUUAGUGUUCUAACAACACUAGGGAAUUACACUCACUAGGUGUUAAACCCCAGAAGAAAGUGAACGUGCUCUGUCUUGCCAGCCACCAUGAACUCGGGCAUUACUUAGUGCCCUUCUACACAUGCUUGACAUCAGUAAAUUCUUCACUGAGUCAAUUCAGAAGAAAACAAAAUGUUAUGGUUCUCUUCAAAAUUAAUGAAGAUGAUAUUUGACUGGGGGAGACCUCCUAAAAAUCUUGGCUACAGAUAUGAAGACAGAAACCAAGAAAGACUACAGGAC